rnacentral:rRNA from 1 species
UCAGGAUGAACGCUAGCUACAGGCUAACACAUGCAAGUCGAGGGGCAGCAUUGGAGUAGCAAUACUCAGAUGGCGACCGGCGCACGGGUGGGUAACACGUAUCCAACCUGCCGCUUACUCGGGGAUAGCCUUUCGAAAGAAAGAUUAAUACCCGAUGGUAUAAAGAGUUCGCAUGUUCUCUUUAUUAAAGAAUUUCGGUAAGCGAUGGGGAUGCGUUCCAUUAGAUAGUUGGCGGGGUAACGGCCCACCAAGUCUACGAUGGAUAGGGGUUCUGAGAGGAAGGUCCCCCACAUUGGAACUGAGACACGGUCCAAACUCCUACGGGAGGCAGCAGUGAGGAAUAUUGGUCAAUGGACGAGAGUCUGAACCAGCCAAGUAGCGUGAAGGAUGACUGCCCUAUGGGUUGUAAACUUCUUUUAUAAGGGAAUAAAGUGAGGGACGUGUCCCUUUUUGUAUGUACCUUAUGAAUAAGGAUCGGCUAACUCCGUGCCAGCAGCAGC